rnacentral:rRNA from 1 species
AAUCAACGCUGGCGGCGUGCCUCAGACAUGCAAGUCGAACGCGAAAGUCCCCUUCGGGGGACGAAGUAGAGUGGCGCACGGGUGAGUAACACGUAGGUAAUCUACCUUCGGAUGGGGAAUAACAAUCGGAAACGGUUGCUAAUACCGCAUAAUGCAGCGGCACCUAAUGGUGACAGUUGUUAAAGCGGGGGAUCGAAAGACCUCGCGUCUGAAGAGGAGCCUGCGGCGGAUUAGCAGUUGGUAAGGUAAUGGCUUACCAAGGCGACGAUCCGUAACCGGCCUGAGAGGGGCGGUCGGUCACACUGACACUGACAUACGGGUCAGACUCCUACGGGAGGCAGCAGUC